rnacentral:rRNA from 1 species
UACGUAGGGGGCGAGCGUUGUCCGGAUUUAUUGGGCGUAAAGAGCUCGUAGGCGGUCUGUUGCGUCGGCUGUGAAAACCCGGGGCUCAACCCCGGGCCUGCAGCCGAUACGGGCAGACUAGAGUUCGGCAGGGGAGACUGGAAUUCCUGGUGUAGCGGUGAAAUGCGCAGAUAUCAAGAGGAACACCUGCGGCGAAGGCGGGUUGCUGAGCCGACACUGACGCUGAGGCGCGAAAGCCAGGGGAGCGAACGGG